rnacentral:rRNA from 1 species
CCUACGAGUGGCAGCAGUGAGGAAUAUUGGUCAAUGGACGGAAGUCUGAACCAGCCAUGCCGCGUGCAGGAAGACGGCUCUAUGAGUUGUAAACUGCUUUUGUACAAGGAUAAACCUGAAUAUGUGUAUUCUGCUGAAAGUACUGUACGAAUAAGGAUCGGCUAACUCCGUGCCAUCAGCCGCGGUAAUACGGAGGAUCCAAGCGUUGUCCGGAUUUAUUGGGUUUAAAGGUUGCGUAGGCGGAUUGUUAAGUUAGAGGUGAAAUGUCCGAGCUUAACUCGGGAAUUGCCGGUAAUACUGGUGGUCUGGAGAGUAGAUGCGGUAGGCGGAAUGUAUGGUGUAGCGGUGAAAUGCUUAGAGAUCAUACAGAACUCCGAUUGCGAAGGCAGCUUACUAAACUGUAACUGACACUGAAGCACGAAAGCGUGGGGAUCAAACAGGAUUAGAUACCCGGGUAGUC